rnacentral:lncRNA from 1 species
UUUCAGCGCAUGCGAUGCGCACCACUUGUCAUCAACAUAGUUGCCGAAAAGCAGACAAGGUUGCAUGUACUUCUGGAAGAUUACGUGACCGACAUGCGAGACGCUGACAAUACAUGGUCAAGGGCAAUGCUUGAAUCUGUUGGCAAGCUGCACAGACGUUUAGGCAGAGAUCAGACUGAGGCGCUACAACUCUUUCUGCAUGCCAGAAAUUACAUGGCCUUCGCGGAUGGGCUUCUACAAUAUUAUGACAACAUGUACGACAUGCACCUUGGGAAGUCGAGAGCAGAUGGCCGCGCUUUGCGAAGGAUUGGUGCAGAUGUAGAAGCUGUGCGUCGGAGACAGGGGAAAAUCAAAGAAGUUCACGCAUUUCCCGUGGGAAGGCACUCCGAAAAGCUUGUCACCAAUCCUCACCCUGGCUCAUUGGACAUUCACCGACUAACAAAGGACGUUUUGACGGCCGUGCUCGAUUUUGUAACCAAUCGGACGUCCCCAUGAGAUGCUAAAAGUUAGCGCUAACACGCACCUUCGUAAGCUUCGAACGAACAGACGA